GUGGGGAAUCUUCCGCAAUGGACGAAAGUCUGACGGAGCAACGCCGCGUGAGUGAAGAAGGUUUUCGGAUCGUAAAGCUCUUUCGUUAGGGACGAACGUGCUCUUUGUGAAUAAUGAGGAGUAAUGACGGUACCUAAAUAAGAAGCCACGGCUAACUACGUGCCAGCAGCCGCGGUAAUACGUAGGUGGCAAGCGUUGUCCGGAAUUAUUGGGCGUAAAGCGCGCGCAGGCGGGAUAUCAAGUCUGUCUUAAAAGUGCGAGGCUCAACCUCGUGAGGGGACAGAAACUGGUAUUCUUGAGUGUCGGAGAGGAAAGUGGAAUUCCAAGUGUAGCGGUGAAAUGCGUAGAGAUUUGGAAGAACACCAGUGGCGAAGUCGACUUUCUGGACGAUGUCUGACGCUGAGGCGCGAAAGCUAGGGGAGCGAACGGGAUUAGAAACCCGGGUAGUCC
rnacentral:rRNA from 1 species